GUGCUAGCCCCCGCGCGGGUGCCCGCGUCCCGGCCCGGAAGAGAGGCGGGACGACGGCGCGUCCUCUCCCCGCAAGAUUACCUCGCAGCGCGUAGCCGGCUUUGUGUUUCCCCUCCCUCCUUCUCGGCAGCCGCCCGGGCUGCAGCAGCCGCCGGAUCCGCCGCUGCGGCCGCCUCUUAAGCGCCGCAGAGCCCCAGAGGGUGUGGAUUCUGCAAUGCUGCACAGAAACCUACUGCAGCCUCAGACCAACAGCAGCAGCAGCAGCGGCGGCGGCGGCAGCAGCAGCAGCAGCAUUAGCAGCAGCAGCUUCUCUCAAUGCUGAGUAACUGUCAUUGUGAAGGGGUCCUUCAGAAGGAUUCAUCAUGUGAAGAAAAAUGGCUACCUAAGUGCAGGGAUUUCAAGGGCAGCAACAGCCUUCUCUGACUAUAUCUCCAAAGUAUCCCUAUUUACAGUUGAAUACAGAUAAUCAUGAGGCCCAAGACCCUAAGGAACAGUGCAGCCAGGAGUCGGAAGGAGCCUGGGUUUCUGAAUCAUCACAUGGAGGGGAGCUGUCUUCAGCUGGGAGAGCUGUCUUCAGUUGGAUACUGGGAGGAAGAAAGGGAGCUGGUUAGGAAGCAAACUUGAGUUUCCCAUGCUCUGUGGCUGAGCAAGUCACUUCACCAUUCUCAGGAUGGAAGUGGGGAUGGAGGUGGCAUCGGCCUCAUUUGAACCACAUGGACUAAGAGGGGCUAUGGGAGUAUUCCCCAAAGGAAGACUGAGGGGCGUUACUAGAAAAUGGGAGAAUGGAAGCAGAGUGGGCAAAACCAACAGAUGUUCCCUAUAGUAAAUAAAAAAUUUGGACAAUUAUUAGUGAGCAAGUACUUAUAACAUAUAUGGCACAUGGGAUUGUGACUCACCAGUGUGUUAGCACAAUAUGGUCAAAAACCUCUGAUCCAAUUCAACCUACUCAUCUUAACGAUUUUAUCAGCAUUUAAUAAGUUUGUUUUGGCCAUCAUGUGUUAUAGUUUUGUUUGUGGUUUUGACACCUCAUUAGAGGUUUCAUCAGUGUAAGGAGCCAACCUAAGAGCUCUUCUCACAAGUUUCCCAAGAGAGAAAUUGCCCCUCCAAAUGUGAGGAGUCUCACUUUAUAUAGAUAGCAUCCACACUUCUUGCAGUGGAAAACAAACCUUAUAAAAUGUAAUACGUUUGGUUUCCUAACUUUUUCAUGACCCUGGGGUGGUAGAAGGAAGUGCAAGUUUUAUCACUUGGAUUUAGAGACAAGGAAAUUGAAAUGGAGAGAGAAUUGGGCUCACAUGCAGGCAGCAUGUCUAGCUGCCUCCAUCGUGUGAUCUGAGGCACCCCAUGAGGCCUAUGAUUACUGUAAACCUCUAAAAUAAAUAAAAAAUAAAACAAUCUCU
rnacentral:lncRNA from 1 species